GAUGAACGCUGACAGAAUGCUUAACACAUCAGCAAUUGAUUGGUGUCGGACGGGUGAGUAACGCGUAAAGAACUUGCCUCACCGCUAGGGACAACAUUUGGAAACGAAUGCUACUACUUAAUACUGUGAGAGAGGUUUGGGUCCCAUUAGAUAGUUGGGGAGGUAACGGCUCACCAAGGCGAGGAUGGGUAGCCGACCUGGGAGGAUGAUCGGCCCCGAGGGGUCUGGGAGGCGGCCGUUACGACUACGGGGGGAAGGAGGAAGGAAUGUUGGACAAUCGACCAGAGGCUAAUCCGGCAAUUCUGUGGGAACGAUGAAUUUUUCGGAAUGAAAAGUGCUUUCAGUUGAGAUACGGUACCAACAUAAGAAGUGACGGCUAACUACGUGCCAGCAGCCGCGGUAAUAC
rnacentral:rRNA from 1 species